UAACUGUCAGUUUACUAAGAGGAAACAGGUU
rnacentral:piRNA from 1 species